rnacentral:rRNA from 1 species
GCAGGUACAGAACGAUGCAAUACCGCGAGGUGGAGCAAAUCGCAAAAGCCUGCCCCAGUUCGGAUUGGAGGCUGCAACUCGCCUCCAUGAAGUUGGAAUCGCUAGUAAUCGCGGAUCAGCAAUGCCGCGGUGAAUACGUUCCUGAGCCUUGUACACACCGCCCGUCAAGUCAUGGAAGCUGGUAGCGCCCGAAGUCGCCACAAUUCAGUGGUGCCCACGGCGAGACUGGUGACUGGGACUAAGUCGUAACAAGGUAGCCGUAGGGGAACCUGCGGCUGGAUCACCUCCUUU